UACGUAGGGUGCGAGCGUUGUCCGGAAUUACUGGGCGUAAAGAGCUCGUAGGUGGUUUGUCGCGUUGUUCGUGAAAACUCACAACUCAAUUGUGGGCGUGCGGGCGAUACGGGCAGACUGGAGUACUGCAGGGGAGACUGGAAUUCCUGGUGUAGCGGUGGAAUGCGCAGAUAUCAGGAGGAACACCGGGGGCGAAGGCGGGUCUCUGGGCAGGAACUGACGCUGAGGAGCGAAAGCGGGGGGAGCGAACAGG
rnacentral:rRNA from 1 species